UACAGAGGAGCCAAGCGUUGUCCGGAUUGACUGGGCGUAAAGCGCACGCAGGCGGUUGCGCGCGUGGGGUGUGGAAUCUGGCCGCUUAACGGCCAGGCGCCAUCCCAUACGGCGCGACUGGAGUGAUGCAGAGGUCGAUGGAAUUGCCGGUGUAGUGGUGAAAUGCGUAGAGAUCGGCAGGAACACCCAGGGGGAAACCAGUCGACUGGGCAUCUACUGACGCUGAGGUGCGAGAGCGUGGGGAGCGAACCGG
rnacentral:rRNA from 1 species